rnacentral:lncRNA from 1 species
UGUCUCAUAUACUAAGCCUAGUCAUUAUGAAUAUUAAAGUUAGGCACAUAGUAGGUGUUCAGUAAAUAUUUGUUGAGUAAAUACAUCCUAGAGUAACUUCAUGGAAUUAUUUGAUGAUGAGAGAUUUAAAUCAGUGCCAUAAGUCAGCCGAUAACAGGUAAUACUUUUUCAAUUAGACAAUAUAAGCAUAGCUCAGAAUUCAGGUUGUCCUAUUUUGCAGCAGCAUCAGGAGAAGAGGAGGAACAAGCAAAUGAGGAAGAAGAGGAAAAGGAGGAAGAGGAAAAGGAGAAGAUAGUAUUUUUCGUAUCUAAAACUAAGAUUUCAACAUGCCUUAUUCACAGUGUUCAAAGGGUGAUACCAAACACAGUCAGUGUGGGAGAAGGAGGAGUGUGCUUAUUAUUUUAUCUAGAUGUCACUGCUAUUUUUUAUGAAUCAACUUGCUACUUUAUUAGAAUAUGAAAUAUUUCUUUUGUCUUAAAUUUAUAUAUGCUGGUGCAAAACUUCUUGAGAAUUAUAAAAGUGACCCUACAAUAUCAAAUGAACAAAUACAUUUACCCUUGUUUGCUGUUAAUAGUCUUAGGAACCAUAUUUCAAUUCAAUUAAUAACUAUGUUAUUUUUCUUUUCUUCUUUUUUAAAAAAAUCUCUUUAGUUAAUUCUAUGCAACUAUGAGAAUAUUUUUGAGAUUUUUAGGACGCCUGCCUUUAGAUAACUUGAAUUCUCUUUGAUUACUUACGGUACCCAUAUAA